rnacentral:rRNA from 1 species
CAAGCGGUGGAGCAUGUGGUUCAAUUCGACGCAACGCGAAGAACCUUACCUGGGCUCGAAGCGCAGUGGAAUGAGGUGGAAACAUCUCAGCCCGCAAGGGCCGCUGCGGAGGUGCUGCAUGGCUGUCGUCAGCUCGUGUCGUGAGAUGUUGGGUUAAGUCCCGCAACGAGCGCAACCCUUAUCGUCAGUUGCCACCGGGUCAAGCCGGGCACUCUGGCGAAACCGCCUCGGAUAACGGGGAGGAAGGUGGGGAUGACGUCAAGUCCUCAUGGCCUUUAUGUCCAGGGCUACACACGUGCUACAAUGGUCGGUACAAACCGUCGCAAACCCGCGAGGGGGUAGCUAAUCGGAAAAAGCCGGCCUCAGUUCGGUAUUGGAGUCUGCAACUCGACUCCCAUGAAGCUGGAAUCGCUAGUAAUCGCAGUAUCAGAACGCUGCGGUGAAUACGUUCCCGGGGCCUUGUACACACC